rnacentral:snoRNA from 1 species
AAACCAUGAUGAGGACACUCUAGGAGAAGGUCUUUGAAACGUUCCAUACAUCGAGAGAAUUGUUCAUUGGGUCGCUGGCCGAAGUAGAAAAUGUUGUUCCUAAGUUU